rnacentral:rRNA from 1 species
GCGCUAGCUUACGUGGAGGCGCUGGUGGGAUACUACCCUAGCUGUGUUGGCUUUCUAACCCGCACCACUUAUCGUGGUGGGAGACAGUGUCAAGCGGGCAGUUUGACUGGGGCGGUCGCCUCCUAAAAGGUAACGGAGGCGCUCAAAGGUUCCCUCAGAAUGGUUGGAAAUCAUUCAUAGAGUGUAAAGGCAUAAGGGAGCUUGACUGCGAGACCUACAA